UUCUCUAAUUUUUAUUUUGCGGACCAGUGUCGGAGAAGACUGAAGAACCACAAAACAGACUCAGAGAUGGCAGCUGUUCCGCCGUCAUCGUUUAAGGCAAAUUCUAGCUCUUCCGCGGCGGCGGACCCCAAACUCGGUCUCUUGAAGCAGAUACGGAGCCACGAGGUCGCAAUUGCAGAGCUCGGUGCUCUUUCAUCUUCCCGGGGUGUCUAUCAGAAGAAUGGCAACUUGUUUUUUCGUACAACAAUCGAGAAAGCAUCGGCAUCUGAACAAAAACAAAUUGAUUUGGCUAAAGCAAGACUAGGAAAUCUGAAUUCUUCUUGAUAUGACUUUGUUUGUGAUGGUUAUAGUUCGACAGCCUCUUAAGGAUAAUGAACGGGUGAACCGCUUCUUGUUGCAGACUCCUAUUGGCUUUGGAGUUUACAGGACUCUUUUUCUUUGCUUUUGGUACCCCAUCGACACUGCUCAUUGUUUAUUUCUGAAAUGUCAGUUUCUACCAUGGAUAUUUUGUAGAAGAAUAGUUGUGGCAACUUUAGGAGAGGGGCGUUAUGUCGUAGAUUUUCCUUUCCUUUUCUUUUUCUGUAGUACGUCUGUAAUUUUGCUCGUACAUUGUGUUCAUAUUUUUUAGAUAACCAUAAUUAUCUAUCGUUUCGCCAAAAA